rnacentral:lncRNA from 1 species
UUGAGUUGCAAAGUCUGUAUUCAGCUGAAUGAAUCUCUAGGGUCAUAAACACUGAUGUCCCUCUUUCUUUUUCCUUUUUUGUAGUUUGCAAUAAGGUGGAACUCUUACUUCCAAGAUACUGGCUCUACAUUAAAAAAAUUAAAAAGUGGAAGAAGACUUCUGAGACCAAACUAGGAAAAAUGGAGUUUAGAACUGACUCUUGAUACUAGAUGCACAUUUGGCAGGAGGCCAAGGCAAAUCAGAAUAAACAACCAGAAGAAAAUGCCA